AGACGUCUACAUUAGAUACCCCCGUAGUCCCAGCCGUAAACUAUGCGCGUUAGGUGUAUCGGUGACCACGAGUCACCGAGGUGCCGAAGGGAAACCGUGAAACGUGCCGCCUGGGAAGUACGGUCGCAAGGCUGAAACUUAAAGGAAUUGGCGGGGAGCACAACAACGGGUGGAGCCUGCGGUUUAAUUGGACUCAACGCCGGGAAGCUCACCGGAUAGGACAGCAGAAUGAUUGCCGGGCUGAAGACCCUGCAUGACUAGCUG
rnacentral:rRNA from 1 species